rnacentral:lncRNA from 1 species
GUCCUGCUUCUGGCUACUAUCCCGUGUCUGGUCAUGGGAACCUUACCCUGUGAGGAGCCUGACAGCAAGAUCAGUUUCUGCAGUGUGAUGGCCCAAGCACAGACCUGAUCUGGGAACGCAAAACUCCAGUUGCAGGUAUCAAGCUUUUCCUGGAGUCAUUUUUAUGCCCACUCGCUUCCUGUGCAUAAUUCUGUGCCAUGGUACAGGUCUGUGUGUAAUGAAAGCUAUGCUGGAACUUGUGCAGAAAGCAGGCUGAGGACCCUCCCAUGGGCCUCUUCCCACUCACCACCGGAUGGCCAACAGUUGAACACCAGGAUUUCAUCACAUGUCCCACCUUUGGCAUCUCCUGGCAGAACUAUUUGCCCAAAAAUAAAAAGAAAUAAAAUUCCUUGACCAUCCC